rnacentral:misc_RNA from 1 species
AAGUCGUAACAAGGUUUCCGUAGGUGAACCUGCGGAAGGAUCAUUCAAGUGGCUCUGCCAUUGAUACAUUGUGAACAGCACGGCUUGCUGGCUUUUCAUAGAUUGGAACUACUGUAGCCUUUAUUACUUCCAGCAAUGGAUCUCUUGGCUCUU